GUGUUUUUUUGAGGAGACAAAGAUACUAGAAUGGUUUGUCAUUUGAAUUCAAAUAAAUCCAUCUAAAUCAUGGUUUAAAUUUUCAUUUAAAUGACUGACCAGGAAGCCUAUUCUUUACUUUUUGGAAAAUUCUACCAAAAAUUAUUAUCUCCUAGUACUUGGAUUUUUAAAAACUUAGAUAAGAAUGAUCUACGUCCAUGUUUCAGUGUGAUAGGGAAUUACAAUAUAUUUUAAAGUAAUGAUUUAGAGUCACAAAACAUUAGAUGCAGAAGCCAUCUGAAGAGGAUAAGAUAACCUUUUCAUUUCACAGAGAAGAAGCUAAUAUACAGAGAAGGAAGAACACUGGGUAUUUCCCAGAUUCUUAGGAUUUCGAACACUGUAUCUUUGGAAAGACUCCCAGACAGAAUGUGGAACAAGCAUUUGUGGGUUCUUGGAAAGUGACAGUCCAAAUGGAAAAACAGUCUGAGGUUUCCUGCACAAGUUCUUCCAGGAGUCCAGUUCCUCCAGUCCAACUCCAAAUCAGUGACCAACUCUCCGAAUGCUCGAAUGUCUGAAUGCCCAUCUUCCCCCCAGCUCCGAGUGACUGAUCCUUUACUCCAAACCCAGAUCUGUGUAGAUGCCACCAUAUGUUCCUGCUCCAGUACAAUGCAAACCUUUCAAAGAGGAGUGAGAUGAUAUUCAGGGUCACAAAUCCAUAUAAGAAGGUCCUUCUGAUACCCUCCUUUACAUAGAACCCAUGACAGAGUUACCUUCUAUUAGACUAUUCCUUGGAGAGGCAAAGACAAAGAAGGAAGAGGAAAGAGAGAUUGUUUUCUUUAGUGAUGAUUCUGCAGGAAGCAGUUAAACUCAACUAUUUAAAGGAGCUAAUGGUGAAGAGAAAGUCCUUGUGGGAAUAAGACGCAGCAGAAGAGGAAAGAGGUGACAGCUGAGGGAUAGGUUACUUCAAACAUAUUCUUGAUCACAGAUAGUCCUUCAUGCAUAUUUCCUGGUCAGAAAUGUUUUCUAUGUGAAUGCCUGCUCUCGUGGAUGGAGGAACCUGUGGCUGAGUAGACUUCAUUGUUCAUUGGAAUAUCUUUCUUGUCAAUUACCUUAAGUUUUUGUUUAUUUAAAUGAAUUUUGAUUUAAAUAAAUUUGUUCUCUUUGGUUGUUGAUAAAAGUAUAAACAUCAGUAAGGGCUCGACAAUGCACUUAAAACCUGGAUUAUUUUGGGGACUGAUAUAUGAAGGGAGACCCAGAUGCUACAUACAUACUUGCAUACACAUAUAAGUCCUGUCUCGAAUGAUAUAGAUUAUAAUCUAUCCAUGUAAAUCUCAAAGACAUUCCUAUAUAUUGUUUACAUUUUCCAUAGUAUGAGCUCCAGUUUUAAAAUUCCAUAUUUCCUAGAUUUUAUAAUUACUUAGAAACAUUGCCUCUCUCCCAAUAGAAUGAGAACUCUGAGAAGAGCAGUUUUUGUACUUUUAAGUGAGCUCAGUGGCUUGCUUCAUAAAUGUCUUCUGAAUUGAAUUUGUUAAGUAUAUGU